rfam:Ehrlichia muris AS145, complete genome.
GGCUAGGUAGCUCAGUGGUAGAGCAGGAGAAUCAUAAUCUCUUGGCCGUGGGUUCGAAUCCCUCCUUAGCCA